rnacentral:rRNA from 1 species
UUCCGGUUGAUCCCGCCGGAGGCCACUGCUAUCGGAGUUCGACUAAGCCAUGCGAGUCGAGAGGGGAAAGCCCUCGGCGUACUGCUCAGCAACACGUGGAUAACCUGCCCUUGGGUCUGGGAUAACCCCGGGAAACUGGGGAUAAUACCGGAUAACGCAUAUGUGCUGGAAUGCUUUAUGCGUAAAACGGAUUCGUCCGCCCAAGGAUGGGUCUGCGGCCUAUCAGGUAGUAGUGGGUGUAAUGUACCUACUAGCCAACAACGGGUACGGGUUGUGAGAGCAAGAGCCCGGAGAUGGAUUCUGAGACAUGAAUCCAGGCCCUACGGGGCGCAGCAGGCGCGAAAACUUUACAAUGCGGGAAACCGUGAUAAGGGAACACCGAGUGCCAGCAUCAUAUGCUGGCUGUCCAGAUGUGUAAACUACAUCUGUUAGCAAGGGCCGGGCAAGACCGGUGCCAGCCGCCGCGGUAACACCGGCGGCCCGAGUGGUGACCGUUAUUAUUGGGUCUAAAGGGUCCGUAGCCGGUUUGGUCAGUCCUCCGGGAAAUCUGAUAGCUUAACUGUUAGGCUUUCGGGGGAUACUGCCAGGCUUGGAACCGGGAGAGGUAAGAGGUACUACAGGGGUAGGAGUGAAAUCUUGUAAUCCCUGUGAGACCACCUGUGGCGAAGGCGUCUUACCAGAACGGGUUCGACGGUGAGGGACGAAAGCUGGGGGCACGAACCGGAUUAGAUACCCGGGUAGUCCCAGCCGUAAACUAUGCUCGCUAGGUGUCAGGCAUGGCGCGACCGUGUCUGGUGCCGCAGGGAAGCCGUGAAGCGAGCCACCUGGGAAGUACGGCCGCAAGGCUGAAACUUAAAGGAAUUGGCGGGGGAGCACAACAACGGGUGGAGCCUGCGGUUUAAUUGGACUCAACGCCGGACAACUCACCGGGAACGACAGCAAUAUGUAGGCCAGGCUGAAGACCUUGCCUGAAUCGCUGAGAGGAGGUGCAUGGCC